rnacentral:rRNA from 1 species
AUGCCGGCAGGAGGAUUCUCGGCGUCUUUGGCGCCGCCGUCCGGCAUGGAGUUCGAGGCCAAGAUCACGCCUAUGGUGGUCACCUCCUGCGUCACGGCGGCCACCGGCGGGCUCAUGUUCGGCUACGACAUCGGCGUCUCAGGCGGGGUGACAUCCAUGGAGGAUUUCCAGCGUGAGUUCUUCCCGACGGUGCUUCGCAAGAGGCGCGAGAACAAGGGGAGCAACUACUGCCGAUACGACAACCAAGGCCUGCAGCUCUUUACCUCGUCCCUCUACCUCGCCGGCCUCGUCUCCACCCUCUUCGCGUCCUACACCACCCGCCGACUCGGCCGCCGCGCCACUAUGCGCAUAGCCGGCGCCUUUUUCAUCGUCGGCGUCAUUUUCAAUGGCGCUGCACGGAACCUCGGCAUGCUCAUCGUCGGCAGGAUCCUGCUUGGCUGCGGCGUUGGCUUCGCCAACCAGGCUAUUCCUCUGUUCUUGUCAGAGAUCGCGCCGACUACAAUCCGCGGUGGCCUCAAUUCCCUGUUCCAGAUAAACAUCACCGUCGGCAUUUUGUUCGCCAACCUCGUCAACUAUGGCACUAACAGGAUCCACCCUUGGGGAUGGCGUCUUUCUUUGUCCCUCGCGGGAUUACCAGCUGUGCUGUUCACCCUAGGUGCGCUCUUCAUGAUCGAUACACCCAACAGCCUCAUUGAGCGCGGUCGUCAAGAGGAGGGCAAAGUUGUGCUCAAGAAGAUCCGCGGCACCGACAACGUGGAGCCGGAGUUCAAUGAGAUCGUGGAGGCCAGUCGCGUCGCCCAUGACAUCAAGAACCCAUUUCGAAGCCUCCUACAACGCCGCAACCGUCCCCUUCUCCUGAUCACCAUCCUCCUCCAGAUGUUCCAGCAAUUGACCGGUAUAAACGCCAUCAUGUUCUACGCCCCGGUGCUGCUCACCACGUUGGGAUUUAAGACCGAGGCUUCGCUCUACUCGGCAGUGAUCACGGGGGCAGUGAACGUGUUGUCGACGUUUGUAUCAAUGUACACUGUAGACCGAGUGGGGAGACGGAUGUUGCUGCUGGACGCCGGCGUGCAAAUGUUCCUCUCGUUAGUGGCCAUUGCCGUGGUGAUGAGGACAAGGGUUACCGACCGCUCAGACCACCUCGGCCAUGACUGGGCCAUCAUGGUCGUCAUCAUCAUCUGCAAUUUUGUAUCCUCCUUUGCUUGGUCAUGGGGCCCACUCGGGUGGCUCAUCCCGAGCGAGACUUUCCCGCUCGAGACGCGCUCCGCGGGGCAGAGCGUCAGUGUCUGCACGAACCUACUCUUCACAUCCAUCCUUGCGCAGGUCUUCCUCUCGAUGCUCUGCCACCUCAAGUCCUUCAUAUUUGUGUUUUUCUCCAUCUGUGUUGCCAUCAUGUCGCUCUUCGUCCUCUUCUUCCUACCCGAAACAAAGAACAUUCCCAUCGAGGAGAUGGUUGAAAGAGUGUGGAAACAACACUGGUUCUGGAAGCGAUUUAUGAAUGACGAAGGCGACAACCACGUCAUCAGCGAGGAGGAAACACCACCGAUGGUGUCACUAUCUGAUUCGUUUGUAGAAUGA